GGGAAGAAAGGGCUGGUGGAUUCCUUCCCAGCAGUGUUCCUCUCUUCUCUAAGAUGACACUUUUUAAAAAAUGGAACUUGUCCAAACACGCAGAGGAGAGUAGAGAUUAAUGUCAUGGGGCUGGUGGGGUCACCACCCUGUUGGCCAAAUCUGCUUGGGAUAGUUUUUAAUUAAGCCCCCAACCGUACCCACCUGCCCUUGCAUUGGAGGCCACCUCCCUUUCUGUCCAGGAUCCCCCUUUCUUGUUUCCACCUGCCCUCAUGCUGCAGUAAAAAGCCCAGCAUGGGGACUAUUGUAUUCGAUUUUGUGCAGGUCUUAGUAGAACAGUAAGGACUUGUCCUCAUGGAGCGAUGAGAAACCUUUUUGCCAGUUGCCAGUGGGCUUCAUUUGAAGGCAUCUUGCCCCAGGGACUCAUUUGCAGAAUUUCUAGCAUAAAGUAUUGGGGGUGGGGUGGGGACAGAGGACUCUCUCCAGGAAACACAUCCUAGAACUUUUCUGUCCCCCCCCACCCAACACCCCAUCUCCAAUUUUUAACACAAAGUUGUCUCUCUAGCCUCUUCUCAGUUUAUCUGCUUUGGGUUUUCCCCUCCAUGGCUCCUAUCCCAGCCUUUGAUUGCCAGCCUGUGUUCAGGCUCCAGGAUUCAGUAGCUUGGUGUCCCGGGCUUUUCCUACCUGUGAGGGGGUAUGUCGGUCAUGCCUGGAGGGCCCACCCACUUACCUCCUCACUUCCCCCAAAACAUCAUGUCCUCUUUCUGCUCUCCAGCUGCUUCUGAGGAGACGUUGGCCCCGUCAGAGGCCAUACUUUACUCACACCGGUGCCAAUAAGCCCCCAGAAUUUUCCACUCCACAAUCAUCUGUCAUCCCUCCCCAACCAUGAACAAAGGAAAAGGCACACUACACAUGUGUUAUUAAAAUGAACUGUUUAUAGUAUCUCAGUUGAGUCAAUACAUUAUAAUGUAUUAAAAUGGAAAGGUACAAAAUUGAAAUAAAUACUUUCUGAUUCAUGUAUAAAUCUUUUUUUGUCAAGAUGACUUUUAUCGUCAGUACAUGUUACAAGAAAACAUUUAAAAUGACACUGAAACAAUCAUUUAAAUCAUGGUGCAUGGAGGAAAAAGGUAAAGAAAACAACUUUUGGCUUGUUUUGGCAUGAGACCUUGAUACAAUUUGGGUUCCCCAAAACCAUGUGAAGGGUGAUAAAAUAGAAAUGCUCAAAACUGACUUAAAAAAAUAAACAGGCUUUACAAAAAUCCUCUUUUUGAUUAACCCAGCCACUUCUCUACAUGGUCUGCACUUAACAGUAGAUACAUUCAUUAUUGUCCAUGGGAAGACAGCAACUGCCUUGUGUUUUUAAAGAGCUUGGUGGAGAGGCUAAAGGAUAUGCCGCAGCUGAAGGUGGAUAGAAUGUUCAGGAGAACGGAAAGUCUAGAUGGUCCUCAGGAACGGCUCGGAGAAUGAUGGGGUGUGGAGGGUCUCUGGAGCAAGAGGUGGCGCAAAGAGCGUGAGGAGUCCAGAUCUGAAGCUGAGCAAGGGGGGCGGGAGGGGAAACGCUAGUGGGGAGCCCCGCCUGAGCAGUUCUGGGUUUGCCCUCAACCUGGGAACUGUUUCUGUCUCAGCAAGAGGCCAACCCAGCACUUAGGGGACAGGGCUGGGCCUCUUUUCAGGCACAGCAGCACAGGGGAAGGGAAGCCAGUGACAAAUGUGGGGCUUAACAAUGAAUGCUGCCGACGGGGCUUUCUCUUCUGGUUCUAACUGUUAGGUGGCUGUUAAGGCAAUAAGGACGUUAGCAAACUAGAAGUUAAGGGCAGCUAAAUUCAGCCAGACUGAAGGUAAACAAAAGGUAAGAAGGAGUCCCGUUGUCCUCAGCUACCUCCCAGCCCCCAGCACCGGAGGCCUUGGCUCACAAAGCUCGGAAAAUACAGACAGUGUGCAGGAGCAGAGGGUUUGCCCUUUAGCAGGCUCCACAGAAGAGAAGGCAUAUCUCUGGCUUGGGGCAACAGGACCCAGGUUUCUAGGCUCCAGACUCUCUUUCCCGAGGUCCCUUCAGGAGGGCAGGCAUGGUCACUGUUGAGUGAAAAGUGGAAGCACCAAGGUUCAUGCAGAGUUCAGGCAAGUCCUUUGCCAAAGACCAUCUGGCCCCUCUGGCCUUGAACACCCUGCGUCCUGGAAAGCAAGGCCUGAGGCCGAAUGCCCCAGGGAGACCUUGGCUCAGCUGGAGACCAGGGCUAGCCCUUCCGGGUUCAGGAAUGCUCCCCCUACAUCAGAUGGGAAGUCCAUGGGAAUGUGAGGUCAUGGGAAGGUUUGUGAGUGCAUGGCUGGAUCUUUAAGGGAGUGAAAGAAGCUCCUUUGACCUGAAUCACAAGGAAAUGUACAAAAGACUAAACAGAGCAGAUGGAAGAACCCUUUCCUUUGCCCUUGUUCUGCAGUGAAGGAAACAGACCUUGAAAUGCCAUGGGAAGGAUAAACCUUAAGAGUGGCCUCCAUACUGGGCAGGUUUCUGGCAAGAUGAAGGAGAUUUGACUGCUGAGGCCCUGGAAUUGAGUAACUAGCUCUCAGGCAUUGCUAGAAGGGAAAGCUCCUCACUCCAGCAGGUGAACCAUAGGUGGGCUCAGUAAAUGAGACAAUGGCCCCUCCAUCCUGUCACACUAGGCUGCAGCCUGAGCAAGAUUUCUCCAUGUGUGGGGCCCGAGGAUGCAAGGUCUUGGAUCCAGGGAUGGCUAUGCUCCAAUUACUCAGCACCACCUCAACAAGGAGCAUUCAUAGGGACAAGAUGUGCAGAAGGAGAAAUGCCAGUUGCAAUGGUCAGCUGUCUAGGGACCAGUGCCCUGCCUGAUCUUCCUCUGGUGGAAGCCAUCUUAUUUUGGUCCUAAGAAAAUGGGGCAACAUUUUUUCCAGGAACCCAAAGAUUGUAAUAACAAAUCCAUAAUAAAGCCAAUGUGAUCAGUAGGCUGACGGGGGUACAGAUGAAAACAAGCCUGGUCAGGAGUUGAUCACUGUUGAAGUCUGUUGGUAGCUCUGUGGGACUUCAUUGUACAAUUCUAUUUUCAUAUGUAUUUAAACAUAUGUUUUGAAAAUAUCUACAAUACAAAACAAGACCCCUGGGAGGUUAUCUAGCUUAAUCCCUCAUUUUACAGACAGUACCCAGCAGUUAAGUGCCCACAGUCACAUGGGGAGUUCAUGCAGGGCCGGAACUGGAACCCAGCACUCUUUCUGCAGGGAUUAAGAUGUUUUGGUUGGAUUUACAUCCUUAAGUCAAUGUCAUGUUCUUCAGCUCUGCUCUUACCACGUUGUAAAGCAGGUGAGCUGUUUUUCUAAAUCCUGCCAAUUAGCCUUGAGAACAUGAUUAAUAGCAAAUACCCUUCUCCAUCAAGCCAAGGGGGGCACAUUCUUCAAAAUCUCUUUUCAGCCCCAACAGUUCAAAGGAGACACCCUCCCCUAAGGUUUUGUGGGACAAUGUAGUCAUGGUAGCUUCUUCCUCUCAGGGGAACCACCACCAGGAGGGACACCAGAUGUCCUUCCUGAGCCCCUGGCCGUGUUUAGUUUUCUCUGGAGCCUGACUGGGGGCCUGCUGACAAGGUAAGGGGGUAAAAUGCUAUAGAACAGCCAUUGCAGGGAAUCAAUCCUCUACAAAUCUUCAGCUCAAGUUACUCGAUCUCUUUAGAGAAACAGCACUGUAAUCUAAUUGGAAUCAAAGACAUUUUUCCUUUUAAUAGGAAAAAGAAUUUGAAGAACUGCAAGCUAGGGAAAGGAAGGCAGGACACUGGGCUUUUCCCAGUGAUGACACUAGUAGGGAACAACGGGCCCUGGUAGCAAUAAGAAGUGCUUGUAAGCCUAUGAGGACACACCUCAAAGGGUGUUUUCCCAAAGGAAAAGAGGCCCCAUGAGCCAGGCACUUCCAACCCCUCAGGGGGGAGAGAGGUAUGUAGGCCUGCGCCAUUUUUAGAAGAAUGACACCCAGGAAAGUUCCAGGCACACCAUUCUACACAAGGAAACUACACUUUGGGUUCUGGUGGCUCAGUUGAGAUAAAGUUUAGCAGAGAGAGGUGCAGAAUGGAGGGGGGGAAUUUAUAGUAAGAAUUAGGAAGACUUAAAAGUUGUAGGCUUCCUGAAACAGACAGCUAAAAGGAACUGUGGAAUAUUCUUCUGGAGGGAUCUGAUGCCUUGGGCGUGGAAGCCACCCAAGAAAGUUGUAACAGCUGAAGAAGAGAUAGCGUGGCUGGGUGGAUGAACAGACCACUUGGAUUAUUUUAGAAAGAUCUGUUCUAGCAAGAGACCUUAGUUAAGUUUAUAGAUUUCGAUCCUGCCAUUUCUUACUCUCAUUAUUCUUCCUCAUCCCUGAAAGUAUAGGUAAAUAAGACAUCAGCUCAUUUCUUAUUCAAAAUCCCAACCCUCCUAAUUUGGUUUAUAGACAGCCAGGUUUCGAGGGGUGGGGGGUUGAUUUGUGUGUUCACAUUGACUGCAGUAACUAAGAAAAUAGACUGUUUUCUUUCCAAGAAAGUUAUAUAAAACAUGACACUUUGGAAAAUACCAUAUAAAUUUCAAAAAUUCGAAGGACUCUUAGCUACCCAUUACAAGUCAAGAGAGGGACAGAGAAGCAUUGUGGUGCAGGAGCUCCACAAAUUUCUAGCUGUGUUUCUUUGGAAAAAUCACUUCCUCUCUCUUCCUGGGCUUCAGUUUCCUCAUCUUGCCACUUUGCAGUCAACCCUGAUGCUGAGGAAACAUAGCAAGUGCUACUCAACCUAAUGAAAAUGUCAAUGUAUUUUGAAAGAUGUCUGCUGGCAAUGGCCAGCCAUGAGCUCAGUGCUCACAGGCACAUACAUCCCAGUAGGAUGACAAGAGCCUCAAAGAGUGAGGACAGAGCAAGUCCUCGUCUCCACCUGGUUGGCCAUCAGGACUGAUGUGUCAAGAAGCCUGAAGACCUCAGAGGACUAGCCUAUCCUCUGGAUUUGAGGAGGAAAGACAGGACCAUUUGGAGAGAGGUGAACUUUUCUGCCAAAGACCAACAUCUGCAAGACCACAAAUGCUGGCAAUGCAGGUGCUUCUAGUAUCAAAGGUGCAUGUUGGUUCCCAGUGGUGGGGGUGGGGAGGGCCUAACAGUUUUCGGUGGGAAAAUACAGAGUGUCAAACUUCUGUGGGCCUGAGGAAAAGCAAGCCCGUGAUUCUGACUGGGUUAUAGAAAAGAUAGGAAUCCAGGUGACAGAAAGUCAAUUCCAUCUGCCAGAGAUAGUGUCUACCAAUCCCACCUCCUUCCAAGCUGUGCAGGAGCCACCUGGCCAAAGAGAAGACUUUGGAAGUCAGGAUAAUGCCAAUCCAGGGUGGCCCCCGAGUGGACCUGAAUAUCUUGAGGAAAGAGGAUGCUGACAGCAUGGUCUCCAGACACACAGUGAUUACAUCUCCUGGGUAAAGACCCUGCUCUUGCUCUAAGUGCACUGAAGACUCAGGAAAGUAUAGUUGCCUCUCCUCUCCACUCCUCCCAAACACUGCCCUGCCUCAUCUUACAUGUGGUGACACUGAGGCACAGGAAGGACGAACAGUUUUUCUGCAGCUCUCAUACUGAUCUAGUGACACACACCAGGGAGAAAAAUCCAGGGUCUCUCUCUCUCUCUGAGUCUUUGGAUAACUUCAAUUGCCUUUCUGCUUAAUACACACAUAAAGUCUGCCUGCCUGUCUAUCUAUAAUAUAUGUACUAUUAUGUACAAAACAUAAAGAAUUCUUAGAUUUCUGCCUAACUUCCUGUCUUUUUGUCCUCCUUUACAUAACUAGAUUUGAAAAAAAAAAAAAUAGAUGUUCCGUGGCAAGGGAAAAACCACAGUACUGCUCAGAGGAACAGACCUCCAGAAGGAGAGGUGACAGCCUUUGCUUAUUGGGCUUGGGGGUGCUUCAGAUCUGGACUGUACAGCAAAUUAAAUGGAACACAACUUAGAGAAAUCGGCAAUGGAGACAUCUGUGCCAGACGACGUGAACUUCCACAACCUGGUUUUAAGGAACAGUAAAUACAAUAGAGAUAGAUAGUACACUAUGCUGAAUCUUGAGUAAUAAAACAAGUUAUAAAUAGAAUUAUGCUAAAUUAAAGACGGACAUCAUAGGGAAUAGUCUGGUCAACAACCAAUCACCAUUAGAAUCAAAAAGUAAACCGGCCUUUUCACUGAGUACCUCCACAACGUUUCUCAAUGCACUAAGUACAUUUUAACCAUGCAAAAAUACACAAACAUCUUAACUAGGUUGUUUUUUUUUUUUGUAAAAAAAAAUCAAACACCAACAUUAUGCAUUUUUUUGUUAAUUAUAUUGGUUAAAGUAACAGCCAGUGGCUGCCAAAUAUCAGAUACAUCAUAUACAUAUUUUUUAUACAGAAUCUGGACAACACAACAUUACACAUCAGAGAGAGAAAGAGAAAAAGAGAAAGAGAUUAUUUGUUCCUUUGUGGGUUUGUUGUUGUUCAGUAAAAAAAUAAAGUAAAAUAUGAGAAGCAAUGCUAAGAAGGAAAACACUUCAACAAGGUAGGAAUACAUAGGGAGAAUUGCUAAUCAGAAAUACCGGAGGAAAAGAGUUCAUUGUUAGGUCUGUGUCUAGAAUUUUCUUCACUAAGAAGCAAAAGAGCACAACAGGUGUAUUGGUUUGGAAAAGCAGAAAGAGCGAUUAACAUCAUGCUGUCCAGUUCCCAGCACGUUUCC
rnacentral:lncRNA from 1 species